UUUUCCCAAAUUUGAACUAUUCAAAUACUUAAAUCAUAUUUGAUAAGCAUCUCAGAACCAUGCAAACUAGUGCAAUAAUUCGAAGCUGCAAUAUGUUGUUGCCAAAAGGUGGUAUACAUUGGAUCUAGGGUUGUGUUCAAAUCCUUACAAUCAGAAAGGGUGUGCAUGAUUGCCCGUAUUUGUACCUCUAAUGUUUUUACUCACAGAGAAAUGGGUCAGAACGAUUUAUAUUGUAUCCCCCUAUAAAAAGUGGAGCAGUAUUGCAGGAAGAAGACAGUGAAUUCGAAACUGGCACUGGCAUGGUGAAGAAGAAGACGAAGAAGACUUGUCCAUACAGACAGAACUGGCCAUGCAUGCACUUAGCACUAGCUUUGUUUCUUAAAGAACAAAUCCUUCUUCUCAUCUCCUGUUUGUGAAGAACUCUAAUCACCACUUCAAUAUGUUCUCCAGAAACUCAUGACCGUUAAUUUUCUGUAUUGGUUUUACUUUCACUUGCCGACUCCGUAGUCUGUAAAUAACACAGAUACUUAUAAAUAGAUCGAUAUGUCACUAUAGCGUGCCAUUAAGUAGAAAGAAGAAGCAUGAUCCGUUCCUAGUGGGGAAAAAAGUCUUAAGAGUAAAUUGCUUGCUACUCAUGGUCGAGUACUACAAUCAUGCAACUUCAGCUAUAGUGCUCUAGCAAAUUUGAGAUAUAAUGACAGACAAAGCAAACAAGCGAGUAAGUAAAGAAGAAGAAGAAAGCAACUAGAGUAGAAAUAAUUUAUAUUCAGAAACAACAAUUUCAUAGAGAUCUGUCUUUGAAUAUAAAAAAAAAAAAAAAUCAAGAGUUGGAUUAUCUGGCAUAAUUUGUCAUGAUAUACUUCUGUCAAGAGUUGCAUUAUACAUGAGCUGCAUCCCCAACUUAGAAUAUUAGUAGCUUUGAUUUGUACAUGAUCAUUGUAAAAAUCUUAAUGUUUUAUGAUUCUUAUAUCGUGAGACCAUUGAACAACAAUUUCUUAUAGCUCGAUCCUAUGAUUCCUAUCUUACUUUUCUCUUUCAUAGUUUGUAAGAAUAAAUAUUGUUUCUACGACAAACGUUAUAUAUCUUCUAAGUACAUUGACUCACUACAUAACUUGAAUAAAGAUGUGAGGAAUAACUCGUAAAAUGUCCUAAUUAGAAGUGCUUCCUUGAAUUAUGUAUAUGUCAAGAUACAUCACGCUACCAAUAAUGAAGCUAUAUAUGUAUUAUUAAAUAUUAUAUAUGUAACGCUAACAACUUACUAGAGUUUUAUAGAAUUCUGCGACUUUCUAAACACGGAUAAAUUGUGUUACUUUUUACUUAUAGCUAUACUUAGAUUUCGUCAAAAACAAGUAAUAACAAAUGCAUAUCAUCCUUAAUGAAAUCCUUAAACUGAGGAGAUUGUCAACGUUGAACAACAAACGUAGAGAAAUGUUUAUCUAUCUUAUUAUAGUAUCCUACAACUAGACUUGCAAUUGUUAAACACAAUAGAAUUCAAAACAAAGAACUUAAGAAGGUGCUAGUUGAUUACAUAUAUAGUCAUAACAUUGCAUGUUCAUUGUCAAGAUGUCAUUGUUCUUGGCUUUGGUAGUUUAGUUCUGAAUUGACCUUUUGAAAAGCUACUUCUUUUGGUGGUCUUCUCAAAACAGCAAUGGCCCAACCACCAACUUCAGCAGGGCACCAUUCCUGGCUUUCUCUCCCAUUUUCAGUCCCAUUUACCUGCUUUCCAAAAAUAAAGAAAAAGAUAAGUGGGAUUUGCUUUGGAGCUUUUCAACCCAGCAUUUUAUUCCCUUGAAUCAAGAAAGAGAUAGAUCUAUAAGCUCCUCAAAGCUGAUGGGGUAAAAGGAGCUUUUGUUAAUAAAGAAGACUAUCCCAGAUUCCCAGUCUUUGUUGUUCAUGCAAGAAUGGUCCACUUCUCAAAUCUUGGACUAAUUAAAUCCAAAACUGAUCACCUACUCACUUUUAUUGGUUAAUUUUUCCUAUAAAGAGCCAAAAGGGUUAGUAAAGCUGGUGUCAUAUAUCAUAGAAAGCCAAAGGGUAAAUUAAUGAAGUGUAAUAAUGCAUUCCGUGGUGAAUAGCAAGGAAAUUCCUUAAUGCAGUGAAGGACCCAAAAUUAGGUUGGUGCCAAUAAAUUCAAUGGGUUUGGUAUUUCAAGAAGUAUAAUAUAAGAACCAAAGGAGAUAUGGUGGUCCUUUAGAGCCUGUGUACCAUCAAAAUGAGGACAGGUUGGAGCUAACAAAAUGAUAGCAGGACUUCUUUUGAUUUCUGGAAAAAUGAAAGCAGACUUCUUCUUUUACAUUGUUGCUUAAUCGCUUCAUCACAAAGCUUUGGGUCCCCAUUGUGCAAUAAGGUGUAUUUACUUGUCCUAUGUACAUCAAUGGGUGCCCUAAUUUACUAGACUUUUAGUGAUUACCAAUGAAACUCUGCAAUUAUAUAUGAACACCCAACAUAUAUAGAGUAGGGCACCUUGGUAUGAAACAUGCCUCCAUAAACAGCAGUUCCUAAUUUUGUACCUGCUAGCCCAGAUGAAUGACAAAACCUCUUAAUAAUCCAACAAUGAUAAUGUUCUGAAUCCUCUGACCAAUUUAUAUUACUUAUGAGUUAUGAGUAGGACAUACUUAGAGUGGGAUACUAGAGCCUGCUACUUUUUUCUUUUAUCAAAUUUACUGAUCAUAAUUUUUUUCUUCAGUCUUGUGUAUGAAUUUCAUUAGUUAUACCUAAUUUUG
rnacentral:lncRNA from 1 species